UGAAAAUAUGGACAUAAGCCCCGAGGCAACCAGCUCAAGAAAUUUGGACCACAUUGAUCAAGAAAAAAACAUACAAGAAAAAAUUGAAACAAAAUUAAUUAAAAAAAAAAAAUAAUAAUAAAAUAAGAUACAAUCCAUACAACAACAAAAUUAGUACACCUAAAAUAAUAGGAAAUGGAAAUAUAAUACAUAUACACACACACACAAAACCGGCCAACUUUGGAAUAGUUAACCCCCCAAAAUUAAAAUGCUACCGAUGUGGAUUGAUGGGCCAUAAGGCUCGCGAUUGUAAAAAACCAAAACGUAAGUACCAUAAAUCUAAGUUACUAUUUGAAUUUACAGUCUUGAAUGGUACUCAAAAAGAAAUAUUUCAAAUAGUGCAUUUUAAAUAAUUAUUUAAAUAAAAUCAUCUAUGUUAUUAGCAGGGCUCGGGACUUAUAGCAUUUGCUAGAAAAUGCUUUUGUUUGCUAUUUUUGACGGUUUUUUCAAAAAACGCUUAUUUUCAGUUUUUUUGAUGAUUUAAUAAAAGACAAAUGCUUGUUUCUUGUUUUUUCUGUUUUUGUACAUUAAAAUAUUUGCUUUAUGACGCAGCCUAACCAGGUUUUUUUUAUCGGUUUUUGAUAGGUCUAAUAAGGAAAAUAAUUCAAUUGUCUUCCUUGUUAGUAGGGUUUUGUUUUUGUUAUCUUAUCUAUUCGAUAGCCAACGCCAUCCUCGGCAUUGUUAACUUCUUUAGUUAUGGUUGAAGUGUCAUACUAGUGUGGUACUUGGUUGAUUUCCUUUUUAUAAUGGAUUUCUCGGUAAACAAUAUUUUUAGACCGUUAUGGCAUACUGGGAUAUCAACAAAAAUGUAUACUUAAUUUUUCAAAAAAUCCAUUUUUGGGGAUUUUUUGAUUAAUUUUUUUAUUCAUAAAUGCUU